UUUUGCUUAAAUUUCUCAAUUACAUCCAAUCUUUGAAAAAAGUGUUAAAUGCGUCCUCAUUUUGUAAUUUUUGCAUCAAUGAAGUCUCUUCCGUUAAAUACAAAUAAACGGAGUUAAGAGAUUAAUGAUGUGGUAGAAGACGUGUUAUUUUGUAAGUAUAUUUAUGCUGACAUGUUAGUGAAUGGGUGCAGAGAUGGAAUUUAGGGGUGCACGUAGUAUUUUUUGGGUCAGACCCAAGCCCUCUUUCUUUUUUUUUUCUUUUUCAGAAGGUCUCUUCUCCACCUAGCAGCUCUGCUCUCCAACGAUGUCGUGCCUCCUCUGGCUGGCAAAAACUAUCGUCGGUGGCACCGAUCGUCGCUAGAGACACCGCCAGCCACUACGGCGUUCCUCCCUCCGUGCGCGCUUGAGGUAAGCUCUGACACUAACUGACGAGGUUACCAGCGCCGUCAAUGAUGCUCUCCCGCGCAAGCCACCGCCACGGUCAAGCCAUGGUUGUCGACGUCUUCACAAUGCGAGAAGCCCUGUUUGAUGGCGAUGUUGUGGAGGAGAAGAGUGGGCUUGCGUUUGCGGUAUGGUGGCCUCUGUUCUCAGGCGGUUUCGCAACAACAAGGCUUGUGACUGAAGGUUUCGAUUUGGGGCUUUGUUAGGGCUCGAAUUGGAGCUUCUGUUUCUCGCGUUUCACAAGUGAUUUCUGAUUUUGGGAAUUUCUCGGCAAGAGUUUUGUUCUCAUGUUCUUGGUCAUUUUAGGGUUUUUGAUCUUGUUUUGUUUUUGCGAUUAGCGAUUAUGAAGUUUUAGUUUUCGAUUUGGAGGUGGUUCUUUGAUCAGUGUUUCUUUAUUUUGGUUUUCUCCAUUUUGGCUGGGUUUGAAUGUGCAAGUGAUUAUACGAGGAUGAUGGAGAUUUUCUAAGGUAUGAGUGAAGGUGGUGAUAUUGGGUGAUGAAUCUGAGUGUUACUUUUUUUUUGUAAAGAAAGUGAAAGAAGAUGAAAUCAA